CUUUCAUGAGCAAAGAUCUGCAGUUACAUUGUUACCAUUUCGUUAAUGAGAGACACACGACUCCCUUGUGUGAUCUCCCAUUCAGUGGUUUUAUUCAUUUCACGAACAGUGUAUUCCAGGAACUCGGGAUACAACUUAUCAAAAAGCUUGUAUGGCAGAAACAAUACUAUCUGUAUUGUACACGCACCGAUCCUCAAAGAAGU